GUGAGGAAUAUUGGGCAAUGGGCGAAAGCCUGACCCAGCAACGCCGCGUGGGUGAUGAAGCUCUGAGGAGUGUAAAACCCUGUUAGGAGGGACGAAACUUCCGAUUCAUCGGGAUUGACGGUACCUCCAGAGAAAGCUCCGGCUAACUCCGUGCCAGCAGCCGCGGUAAUACGGGGGGAGCUAGCGUUGUCCGGAUUUACUGGGCGUAAAGGGAGUGUAGGCGGAAGAGAAAGUCGGUGGUGAAAUUUUUCGGCUUAACCGAAAACUUGCCACCGAUACUACUGUUCUUGAGUACGGAAGAGGAAGGCAGAAUUCCUGGUGUAGCGGUGAAAUGCGUAGAUAUCAGGAAGAAUACCGGUAGCGAAGGCGGCUUUCUGGUCCGUAACUGACGCUGAGACUCGAAAGCGUGGGGAGCAAACAGGAUUAGAAACCCUAGUAGUCC
rnacentral:rRNA from 1 species